ACGAAGCGGUAAGCGUGCCUAAUACAUGCAAGUCGAGCGAACAGAGAAGGAGCUUGCUCCUUUGACGUUAGCGGCGGACGGGUGAGUAACACGUGGGCAACCUACCUUAUAGUUUGGGAUAACUCCGGGAAACCGGGGCUAAUACCGAAUAAUCUAUUUUACUUCAUGGUGAAAUACUGAAAGACGGUUUCGGCUGUCGCUAUAAGAUGGGCCCGCGGCGCAUUAGCUAGUUGGUGAGGUAACGGCUCACCAAGGCGACGAUGCGUAGCCGACCUGAGAGGGUGAUCGGCCACACUGGGACUGAGACACGGCCCAGACUCCUACGGGAGGCAGCAGUAGGGAAUCUUCCACAAUGGGCGAAAGCCUGAUGGAGCAACGCCGCGUGAGUGAAGAAGGUUUUCGGAUCGUAAAACUCUGUUGUAAGGGAAGAACAAGUACAGUAGUAACUGGCUGUACCUUGACGGUACCUUAUUAGAAAGCCACGGCUAACUACGUGCCAGCAGCCGCGGUAAUAACGUAGGUGGCAAGCGUUGUCCGGAAUUAUUGGGCGUAAAGCGCGCGCCAGGGCGUGUCCUUUAAGUCUUGAUGU
rnacentral:rRNA from 1 species